rnacentral:rRNA from 1 species
UGGGGAAUAUUGCACAAUGGGGAAAGCCCUGAUGCAGCGACGCCGCGUGAAGGAUGAAGUAUUUCGGUAUGUAAACUUCUAUCAGCAGGGAAGAAAAUGACGGUACCUGACUAAGAAGCCCCGGCUAACUACGUGCCAGCAGCCGCGGUAAUACGUAGGGGGCAAGCGUUAUCCGGAUUUACUGGGUGUAAAGGGAGCGUAGACGGAUCUGCAAGUCUGGAGUGAAAGCCCGGGGCUCAACUCCGGGACUGCUUUUGAAACUGUCGGACUGGAGUGCAGGAGAGGUAAGCGGAAUUCCUAGUGUAGCGGUGAAAUGCGUAGAUAUUAGGAGGAACACCAGUGGCGAAGGCGGCUUACUGGACGGUAACUGACGUUGAGGCUCGAAAGCGUGGGGAGCAAACAGGAUUAGAUACC